rnacentral:rRNA from 1 species
GAUGAACGCUAGCGGCAGGCCUAAUACAUGCAAGACGAACGGUAAGUUGAGUAGCAAUACUUAGCCAAGAGUGUCGUACGGGUGCGUAACACGUAUGCAACCUACCCUAUACAGGAGGAUAGCCUAGGGAAACCUGGAUUAACCCUUCAUAGUAUUAUUGGAUGGCAUCAUUUGAUAAUUAAAACUGAGGUGGUAUAGGAUGGGCAUGCGUCUGAUUAGUUAGUUGGCGGGGUAAUGGCCCACCAAGACGAUGAUCAGUAGGGGUUCUGAGAGGAAGAUCCCCCACACUGGCACUGAGAUACGGGCCAGACUCCUACGGGAGGCAGCAGUAGGGAAUAUUGGGUCAAUGGAUGCAAGUCUGAACCAGCCAUGCCGCGUGCAGGAAGAAGGCCUUUCUGGGGUUGUAAACUGCUUUUGCCAGGGGAUAAAAUUUCCAUGCGUGGAAAACUGAAGGUACCUGGUGAAUAAGCCACGGCUAACUACGUGCCAGCAGCCGCGGUAAUC